GAAUUCGUGGUGUAGCGGUGAAAUGCUUAGAUAUCACGAAGAACUCCGAUUGCGAAGGCAGCUUGCUGGACUGUAACUGACGCUGAUGCUCGAAAGUGUGGGUAUCAAACAGGAUUAGAUACCCUGGUAGUCCACACAGUAAACGAUGAAUACUCGCUGUUUGCGAUAUACAGUAAGCGGCCAAGCGAAAGCGUUAAGUAUUCCACCUGGGGAGUACGCCGGCAACGGUGAAACUCAAAGGAAUUGACGGGGGCCCGCACAAGCGGAGGAACAUGUGGUUUAAUUCGAUGAUACGCGAGGAACCUUACCCGGGCUUGAAUUGCAACUGAAUGAUGUGGAGACAUGUCAGCCGCAAGGCAGUUGUGAAGGUGCUGCAUGGUUGUCGUCAGCUCGUGCCGUGAGGUGUCGGCUUAAGUGCCAUAACGAGCGCAACCCUUAUCGAUAGUUACCAUCAGGUUAUGCUGGGGACUCUGUCGAGACUGCCGUCGUAAGAUGUGAGGAAGGUGGGGAUGACGUCAAAUCAGCACGGCCCUUACGUCCGGGGCUACACACGUGUUACAAUGGGGGGUACAGAAGGCAGCUACACGGCGACGUGAUGCUAAUCCCGAAAGCCUCUCUCAGUUCGGAUUGGAGUCUGCAACCCGACUCCAUGAAGCUGGAUUCGCUAGUAAUCGCGCAUCAGCCACGGCGCGGUGAAUACGUUCCCGGGCCUUGUACACACCGCCCGUCAAGCCAUGAAAGCCGGGGGUACCUGAAGUGCGUAACCGCAAGGAGCGCCCUAGGGUAAAACUGGUGAUUGGGGCUAAGUCGUAACAAGGUAGCCGUACCGGAAGGUGCGGCUG
rnacentral:rRNA from 1 species